rnacentral:rRNA from 2 species
AUUGAACGCUGGCGGCAUGCCUUACACAUGCAAGUCGAACGGCAGCAUGGAAGAGCUUGCUCUUCUGAUGGCGAGUGGCGAACGGGUGAGUAAAGCAUCGGAACGUACCGUGUAGUGGGGGAUAACGUAGCGAAAGUUACGCUAAUACCGCAUACGCACUGAGGUGGAAAGCAGGGGAUCGCAAGACCUUGCGCUAUACGAGCGGCCGAUGUCAGAUUAGCUAGUUGGUAGGGUAAAGGCCUACCAAGGCGACGAUCUGUAGCGGGUCUGAGAGGAUGAUCCGCCACACUGGGACUGAGACACGGCCCAGACUCCUACGGGAGGCAGCAGUGGGGAAUUUUGGACAAUGGGCGAAAGCCUGAUCCAGCCAUGCCGCGUGAGUGAAGAAGGCCUUCGGGUUGUAAAGCUCUUUCGGCUGGGAAGAAAUCGCACAGGCUAAUACUCUGUGUGGAUGACGGUACCAGCACAAGAAGCACCGGCUAACUACGUG